CAGGGUGGGAGGAGAGACACGCUAGGCUCGCUGUGUUUGUCAUCACUGAUUGAUUCAACAACUGGGGAAUGAAUUGGACUGCACUACAGAGACCGGCGAGUUUACUGACAGCGUUCAGAGCAAAUUUAGUCGUGAAAACAGCAGAGAGAGCGUGGAGAAGAGAGAGAGACGGCAGGAGAACAAUAGGGACCGAGGGGAAGAAAUGUUGACCGUUGCAAUAAAUGAGCACACUGUCUGUGUUGGCCAGCGGGAGGCAUUAAGAUCGUUAGAGAAGGAAGGCAGACCUGGGAAGGGUACUCAAGCCAACAUUUACAGUUCUUAUUACAAUGGAACAAAUUAUUGUCCUCAAGACUGUUCGGCUGCAUUCUGCAGGAUCCUAAAACCUACAAAAAAA